GUCCAGCUGACAAUUCCCAAAUAGGACGGAACGCGCGUCCUGGAU
rnacentral:hammerhead_ribozyme from 1 species